rnacentral:lncRNA from 1 species
CUCACGAGAGCUGAUGGCUUUAUAUAUGGGAGUUUGCCUGCACAAGCUCUUUUGCCUGCGGCCACCUAAGACGUAACUUUGCUCCUUAUUCGCUUUCCGCCAUGAUUGUGAGGCCUCCCCCACCAUGUGGAACUCUUCUUCUAGAUGGGAUCGAACUUCCUCCUUUCGCUCAGAGAGGUUUGAUUGUCUGAAGCCUUCUUCUCUCAACUUGUCAAAGUCAUUCUCCAUCUAGGUUUGUCCGUUGCUGAAAACGUCCUAAUAAGAAGAUAAGGUGACCGAAUAAGGGGAUUACUUGGCAGAGAUAUGAGAGAACUGGGUUCUUGACCCCACUUUGCCAUGAACUUGGGGGAAAAUUCACCACUGAGCUCAAGCAUUGUAAGACAUCCUGUUCUAAGGAGGGAUGAGGACAAAUCCUCUACUGUUCCCAACAGUUGCACAGGGCACUGCAUCUACAGUUACCCUGAGAACUACAAGCAGGAGGUGAAAGAGCUGAGUCAGCCAAGGUCAUCUGGGGACCUAUCCACUGGCAGAGAUAGCCAGUCAUGGGACUGCUGGAUCAACUGGUAGGUACUAUUUUUAGUUAUUUGAGAAAUCUCUUACUGUUUUCCAUAGAGGUUGCACUGGUUUACAUUCCCACCAAUAGUGGAUAACUGUUCCCUUUCCUCUGCAUCCCUGCCAACAUCUGUUGUUUUUUGACUUUUUUAUGAUAGCCAUUUUGACUGGUGUGAGAUGGUAUCUCGUUGUGAUUUUAAUUUGAAUUUCUCUGAUAAUGGGCAAUUUUGAACAUUUCUUCAUGUAUUUAUUGGGCAAUUGUAUGUUUUCUUUUGAAAAAUCUCUGUUCAUGUCCUUUGCCCACUUUUUAAUAGAGUUGUUUGUUUUUUCUUGCUGAGUUGAGUUCCUUGUAGAUUACUGAUAUUAGUCCUUUGUCAGAUGCAUGGUUUGCAAAUACUUUUUCCUAUUCUGUGCAUUGUCUCUUUACUCUGUUGCCUAUAUUUUUUGCUGUGCGGAGCUUUUUAGUUUAAGUCUCAUUUGUCUGUUUUUGCUGCAUUUAAUUUCGAGUUAUUAGUCAUAAAUUCUUUGCCUAGACCAAUGUCCA